rnacentral:rRNA from 1 species
GAUGAACGCUGGCGGCGUGCCUAAUACAUGCAAGUCGAGCGAACGGACGAGAAGCUUGCUUCUCUGAUGUUAGCGGCGGACGGGUGAGUAACACGUGGAUAACCUACCUAUAAGACUGGGAUAACUUCGGGAAACCGGAGCUAAUACCGGAUAAUAUUUUGAACCGCAUGGUUCAAAAGUGAAAGACGGUCUUGCUGUCACUUAUAGAUGGAUCCGCGCUGCAUUAGCUAGUUGGUAAGGUAACGGCUUACCAAGGCAACGAUGCAUAGCCGACCUGAGAGGGUGAUCGGCCACACUGGAACUGAGACACGGUCCAGACUCCUACGGGAGGCAGCAGUAGGGAAUCUUCCGCAAUGGGCGAAAGCCUGACGGAGCAACGCCGCGUGAGUGAUGAAGGUCUUCGGAUCGUAAAACUCUGUUAUUAGGGAAGAACAUAUGUGUAAGUAACUGUGCACAUCUUGACGGUACCUAAUCAGAAAGCCACGGCUAACUACGUGCCAGCAGCCGCGGUAAUACGUAGGUGGCAAGCGUUAUCCGGAAUUAUUGGGCGUAAAGCGCGCGUAGGCGGUUUUUUAAGUCUGAUGUGAAAGCCCACGGCUCAACCGUGGAGGGUCAUUGGAAACUGGAAAACUUGAGUGCAGAAGAGGAAAGUGGAAUUCCAUGUGUAGCGGUGAAAUGCGCAGAGAUAUGGAGGAACACCAGUGGCGAAGGCGACUUUCUGGUCUGUAACUGACGCUGAUGUGCGAAAGCGUGGGGAUCAAACAGGGUUAGAUACCCUGGUAGUCCACGCCGUAAACGAUGAGUGCUAAGUGUUAGGGGGUUUCCGCCCCUUAGUGCUGCAGCUAACGCAUUAAGCACUCCGCCUGGGGAGUACGACCGCAAGGUUGAAACUCAAAGGAAUUGACGGGGACCCGCACAAGCGGUGGAGCAUGUGGUUUAAUUCGAAGCAACGCGAAGAACCUUACCAAAUCUUGACAUCCUUUGACAACUCUAGAGAUAGAGCUUUCCCCUUCGGGGGACAAAGUGACAGGUGGUGCAUGGUUGUCGUCAGCUCGUGUCGUGAGAUGUUGGGUUAAGUCCCGCAACGAGCGCAACCCUUAAGCUUAGUUGCCAUCAUUAAGUUGGGCACUCUAAGUUGACUGCCGGUGACAAACCGGAGGAAGGUGGGGAUGACGUCAAAUCAUCAUGCCCCUUAUGAUUUGGGCUACACACGUGCUACAAUGGACAAUACAAAGGGCAGCGAAACCGUGAGGUCAAGCAAAUCCCAUAAAGUUGUUCUCAGUUCGGAUUGUAGUCUGCAACUCGACUACAUGAAGCUGGAAUCGCUAGUAAUCGUAGAUCAGCAUGCUACGGUGAAUACGUUCCCGGGUCU